rnacentral:tRNA from 1 species
GCCCAGAUGGCGGAACUGGUAGACGCGCUAGGUUCAGGUCCUAGUCUGUGAAUAACAGGUGGGGGUUCAAGUCCUCUUCUGGGCACCA